rnacentral:rRNA from 1 species
GACGAACGCUGGCGGCGUGCUUAACACAUGCAAGUCGAACGGAAAGGCCCUGCUUUUGUGGGGUGCUAGAGUGGCGAACGGGUGAGUAACACGUGAGUAACCUGCCCUUGACUUUGGGAUAACUUCAGGAAACUGGGGCUAAUACCGGAUAGGAGCUCCUGCUGCAUGGUGGGGGUUGGAAAGUUUCGGCGGUUGGGGAUGGACGCGCGGCUUAUCAGCUUGUUGGUGGGGUAGUGGCUUACCAAGGCUUUGGCGGGUAGCCGGCCUGGGAGGGGGACCGGCCACAUUGGGACUGAGGUACGGCCCAGACUCCUACGGGAGGCAGCAGUGGGGAAUAUUGCACAAUGGGCGGAAGCCUGAUGCAGCAACGCCGCGUGCGGGAUGACGGCCUUCGGGUUGUAAACCGCUUUCGCCUGUGACGAAGCGUGAGUGACGGUAAUGGGUAAAGAAGCACCGGCUAACUACGUG